GAUGAACGCUGGCGGCGUGCCUAAUACAUGCAAGUCGAGCGAACGGACGAGAAGCUUGCUUCUCUGAUGUUAGCGGCGGACGGGUGAGUAACACGUGGAUAACCUACCUAUAAGACUGGGAUAACUUCGGGAAACCGGAGCUAAUACCGGAUAAUAUUUUGAACCGCAUGGUUCAAAAGUGAAAGACGGUCUUGCUGUCACUUAUAGAUGGAUCCGCUCUGCAUUAGCUAGAUGGUAAGGUAACGGCUUACCAAGGAAACGAUGCAUAGCCGACCUGGGAGGGGGAUCGGCGACACUGGAACUGGGCCACGGUCAAGACUCCUAAGGGAGGCAGCAGUAGGGAACCUUACGCAGUAGGCGAGAACCUUACGGAGCAGGCGCGCGUGAGAUGUAGCGGUGUUCGGAUCGGAAUACUCUGUUAUUAGGGGAAAACAUCUGUGUAUGUAACUGUGCACAACUUGACGGUACCUGCACAAAAAGCCACGGCUAACUACGUG
rnacentral:rRNA from 1 species